rnacentral:rRNA from 1 species
GGAUUGUAGGCUGCAACUCGCCUACAUGAAGUCGGAAUUGCUAGUAAUCGCGGAUCAGCAUGCCGCGGUGAAUACGUUCCCGGGCCUUGUACACACCGCCCGUCACACCAUGGGAGUCGGUAACACCCGAAGCCCGUAGUCUAACCGCAAGGGGGACGCAGUCGAAGGUGGGAUUGAUGACUGGGGUGAAGUCGUAACAAGGUACC